GGUGUCGGGGGUCGACUAGCCAUGCGAGUCGAUGUAGCAAUACAUGGCGUACUGCUCAGUAACACGUGGACAACCUACCCUCCGGACGGGUAUAAACCCGGGAAACUGGGUAUAAUCCCCGAUAGAUCUCGGCCGCUGGAAUGCUCCGAGAUCGAAAGCUCCGGCGCCUGAGGAUGGGUCUGCGGCCUAUCAGGUAGUAGUGGGUGUAGCGUACCUACUAGCCUACGACAGGUACGGGUUGUGAGAGCAAGAGCCCGGAGAUGGAUUCUGAGACACGAAUCCAGGCCCUACGGGGUGCAGCAGGCGCGAAAACUUUACAAUGCCGGCAACGGCGAUAAGGGGACCUCGAGUGCCAGGUUACAAAUCUGGCUGUCGCGAUGCCUAAAAAGCAUUGCAUAGCAAGGGCCGGGCAAGACCGGUGCCAGCCGCCGCGGUAACACCGGCGGCUCGAGUGGUAACCGUUAUUAUUGGGUCUAAAGGGUCUGUAGCCGGCCGGAUAAGUCUCUUGGGAAAUCCAGCAGCUCAACUGUUGGGCUUUCAGGAGAUACUGUCUGGCUCGAGGCCGGGAGAGGUGAGAGGUACUUCAGGGGUAGGGGUGAAAUCUCGUAAUCCUUGAAGGACCACCAGUGGCGAAGGCGUCUCACCAGAACGGACCUGACGGCAAGGGACGAAAGCUAGGGGCACGAACCGGAUUAGAUACCCGGGUAGUCCUAGCCGUAAACGAUACUCGCUAGGUGUCGGCCACGGUGCGACCGUUGUCGGUGCCGUAGGAAGCCGUGAAGCGAGCCACCUGGGGAAGUACGGCCGCAAGGCUGAAACUUAAAGGAAUUGGCGGGGGAGCACCACAACGGGUGGAGCUUGCGGUUUAAUUGGAUUCAACGCCGGG
rnacentral:rRNA from 1 species